rnacentral:tRNA from 1 species
GGGAGCGUGGCGGAAUGGUAGACGCAACGGACUUAGAAAAUCCGUUGAUAUUUUUAAUCGUGAGGGUUCAAGUCCCUCCGCUCCCA